GUGUGUGUUCUGGUCGUGAGUUCUAACAGGAGAAAAAGGGGUUUCCCUAAUGAACCCUAAAAUACACAAAAUUAACCAAAUCAAGAGGGCAAAUCAAGUCUAAAUCGAAAACCAAGCUAGGAUUAGUGAUCACUCGGGCUAGAGGAUCACAAGUUUGACUCUGACAAGCUAGGUAGGAGCUUGGAAAUGGACGGGUCAACUGGAUAUAAGUUCAAGUAUGAGGCUCGCAAGGAUGCAAGGAUAAAUCGGCUUAUGAAUUAGCGAUGCUAUGAAUUAGCUAUUAUUGAGACAAGGUAUUAAAACGGGUCAAUAUGUUGAUCCGAACCAGGUACGCAUAUUGUGAGUUAUAAAUAAGUAUACAGUAGAUUGUGCAUAACCAAGGGGAAAGAUUUAAUCUUAAAAGGUUUAAAUCUUCGAAGUAGGUCAAAAGAAUUAUGCGCAUAGAUUGGGUACUAGCCGCGUAAUUCAUAAAAGUUACAAACCCAAAUUAAAGAUUUUGAGAUAAACAUGUUGAUGUAUGCUUAAUGGUUAAUUAGAAACAAGUUUGUGGUUUAAAAACUUGAACAGGUCAAAAGUCUUUAAAAAUGAAUUUUAAAGCCAAGGGCUCGAAGCCUAUUAAUUUGUGAAUUCAGAUGUUAAGUUUGAAAGCUACUGUAAGUUACGGUAGAGCCCAGUCACUUUUGCCGAAUUUUGCAUAUCAUAGUUAAUCGAACCCGUUUUUGAGCAUAGUUUCGAUUACGGCACGCGACGGGUGUAAAACCUGCAAAUCCUUGUUAUUUUAAUUGUUUGGCUCAUGGGACUUGUGUUAACUUGUAAUUAAACUAUCAAAACUAACUUUUUUUGUUGGUUUUGAUUCUAGGUGAAUGUUAUAUGCUUCCGCAUGAGGAUCAAGCCACGAGCAAGAACCGAACACACCUCUCAAUGAAGCUUCCGCAUUCGAUCUUGUUUUGUUUUAUUAAAAGUGGAUUAUGUAAACACUUUUAGCGAUGUUUUGGAUGUUGUAAACAUGUUUAAAUACUUAUGAUGUAAAAGUUUUUGUUAAGUGGCAUUUUUCAUAUAAAAUGCUUACUUUAAUGUUAUGUAAAGGACAAAAAUUAUUAUGGGUGUUACAAGUUGGUAAUCAGAGCUCACGGUUAAAGAGUAAAGUGUGUUCGGUUCGAGGCUUGAUCGCAAAUCCGGUAAGUACAUCUAUGCUAAUAGUUUAGCAUGCUAAAGUGUUGUAAACAACACAUGGGGCUAUCGUGUGAUACACGUUACCUCAAUUAAGCGAUAAAUGUAGUUGACGAAAUUACGCGCGUUGACGCGUAUAGUAGAAAAGCCUUGUAUUAUAAUACGGGCAAUUAUUGAAGUUGACAUUACUAACUUUUGUGAAUGUUUUAACUGAAGGACACUCGCGUCUGAAGAUGACGAGAGUUGAAUGAAUUGCGGAUAUGAUGAUGGAACGGUCCGAGGUAUGACAAGAAGAGCAUACUCAGCAAGGACCUAAAUCGUGUGGCGAUGCGAACAAGGCUAAUGGCAAGAGAAGCCCGUUAAGGCAAGCAUUUGCAGGUGCACAUUUUAAAUAAUUACGCCAAUAGUAAUAUGCAACAAAUACAUAGAGGUUGACCGUUGCAAACAUGUUUAAAUACUUAUGAUGUAAAAGUUUUUGUUAAGUGGCAUUUUUCAUAUAAAAUGCUUACUUUAAUGUUAUGUAAAGGAUAAAAAUUAUUAUGGGUGUUACAUUAUAUAGAGAAAAAAAUAUGUU
rnacentral:lncRNA from 1 species